AUUGAACGCUGGCGGCAUGCCUUACACAUGCAAGUCGAACGGCAGCACGGGGCAACCUGGUGGCGAGUGGCGAACGGGUGAGUAAUGCAUCGGAACGUACCUUUCAGUGGGGGAUAACGUAGCAAAAGUUACGCUAAUACCGCAUAUUCUGUGAGCAGGAAAGCAGGGGAUCGCAAGACCUUGCGCUGAUUGAGCGGCCGAUGUCAGAUUAGCUAGUUGGUGAGGUAAAGGCUCACCAAGGCGACGAUCUGUAGCGGGUCUGAGAGGAUGGUCCGCCACACUGGAACUGAGACACGGUCCAGACUCCUACGGGAGGCAGCAGUGGGGAAUUUUGGACAAUGGGGGCAACCCUGAUCCAGCCAUGCCGCGUGAGUGAAGAAGGCCUUCGGGUUGUAAAGCUCUUUCGGCCGGGAAGAAAUCGCACGGGCUAAUACCCUGUGUGGAUGACGGUACCGGAAUAAGAAGCACCGGCUAACUACGUGCCAGCCGCCGCAGUAACAC
rnacentral:rRNA from 1 species